rnacentral:rRNA from 1 species
GUCUGUGGCUAUACCACCCUGAAUGCGCCCAAUCUCGUCUGAUCUAGGAAGCUAAGCAGGGUCAGUCCUGGUUAGUACUUGGAUGGGAGAAAUCCAUUCUGUGAGUAUGCCACAGUGU